ACAGUGGUGGCUGAGUGGUAAAACCCUGGCCUUCUAUGUGGGAGACCCAGGUUCAAUUCCUGGCCAAGGCA
rnacentral:tRNA from 1 species